UACGAAGGGGGCUAGCGUUGUUCGGAAUUACUGGGCGUAAAGCGCACGUAGGCGGAUUGGUCAGUUGGGGGUGAAAUCCCGGGGCUCAACCUCGGAACUGCCUCCAAUACUGCCAGUCUCGAGUCCGGAAGAGGUGAGUGGAAUUCCUAGUGUAGAGGUGAAAUUCGUAGAUAUUAGGAAGAACACCAGUGGCGAAGGCGGCUCACUGGUCCGAUACUGACACUGAGGUGCGAAAGCGUGGGUAGCAAACAGG
rnacentral:misc_RNA from 1 species